CCGGGGGAACUGAAACAUCUAAGUACCCCGAGGAAAAGAAAUCAACCGAGAUUCCCCCAGUAGCGGCGAGCGAACGGGGAGGAGCCCAGAGCCUGAAUCAGUGUGUGUGUUAGUGGAAGCGUCUGGAAAGGCGCGCGAUACAGGGUGACAGCCCCGUACACAAAAAUGCACAUACUGUGAGCUCGAUGAGUAGGGCGGGACACGUGGUAUCCUGUCUGAAUAUGGGGGGACCAUCCUCCAAGGCUAAAUACUCCUGACUGACCGAUAGUGAACCAGUACCGUGAGGGAAAGGCGAAAAGAACCCCGGCGAGGGGAGUGAAAAAGAACCUGAAACCGUGUACGUACAAGCAGUGGGAGCCUCUUAAUGGGGUGACUGCGUACCUUUUGUAUAAUGGGUCAGCGACUUAUAUUCUGUAGCAAGGUUAACCGAAUAGGGGAGCCGAAGGGAAACCGAGUCUUAACUGGGCGUUAAGUUGCAGGGUAUAGACCCGAAACCCGGUGAUCUAGCCAUGGGCAGGUUGAAGGUUGGGUAACACUAACUGGAGGACCGAACCGACUAAUGUUGAAAAAUUAGCGGAUGACUUGUGGCUGGGGGUGAAAGGCCAAUCAAACCGGGAGAUAGCUGGUUCUCCCCGAAAGCUAUUUAGGUAGCGCCUCGUGAAUUCAUCUCCGGGGGUAGAGCACUGUUUCGGCAAGGGGGUCAUCCCGACUUACCAACCCGAUGCAAACUGCGAAUACCGGAGAAUGUUAUCACGGGAGACACACGGCGGGUGCUAACGUCCGUCGUGAAGAGGGAAACAACCCAGACCGCCAGCUAAGGUCCCAAAGUCAUGGUUAAGUGGGAAACGAUGUGGGAAGGCCCAGACAGCCAGGAUGUUGGCUUAGAAGCAGCCAUCAUUUAAAGAAAGCGUAAUAGCUCACUGGUCGAGUCGGCCUGCGCGGAAGAUGUAACGGGGCUAAACCAUGCACCGAAGCUGCGGCAGCGACACUAUGUGUUGUUGGGUAGGGGAGCG
rnacentral:rRNA from 1 species